rnacentral:rRNA from 1 species
UACGUAGGUGGCGAGCGUUGUCCGGAUUUACUGGGCGUAAAGAGCGCGCAGGCGGUCGUUCAAGUCGGAUGUGAAAGCCCCCGGCUCAACUGGGGAGGGUCAUUCGAUACUGAUCGACUCGAAGGCAGGAGAGGGAAGCGGAAUUCCCGGUGUAGUGGUGAAAUGCGUAGAUAUCCGGAGGAACACCGGUGGCGAAGGCGGCUUCCUGGACCGACACUGACGCUGAGGCGCGAAAGCCAGGGGAGCAAACGGG